UCGAGAUGAUAAUGACAGUAUCAGGUAAAGAAACCCCGGCUAACUCCGUGCCAGCAGCCGCGGUAAUACGGAGGGGGUUAGCGUUGUUCGGAAUUACUGGGCGUAAAGCGCACGUGGGCGGAUCACAAAGUAUAGGGUGAAAUCCCAUGGCUCAACCCUGGAACUGCCUUGUAAACUCCUGGUCUUGAGUUCGAGAGAGGUGAGUGGAAUUCCGAGUGUAAAGGUGAAAUUCGUAGAUAUUCGGAGGAACACCAGUGGCGAAGGCGGCUCACUGGCUCGAUACUGACGCUGAGGUGCGAAAGUGUGGGGAGCAAACAGGAUUAGAUACCCUGGUAGUCCACACCGUAAACGAUGAAUGCCAGACGUCAGCAAG
rnacentral:rRNA from 1 species